rnacentral:rRNA from 1 species
AAAGGAAUUGACGGGGACCCGCACAAGCAGCGGAGCGUGUGGUUUAAUUCGUUGCUACACGAAGAACCUUACCUGGGUUUGACAUAUAGGUUGUAGGGAACUGAAAAGGGACCGACCCUUCGGGGAGCCUAUACAGGUGCUGCAUGGCUGUCGUCAGCUCGUGUCGUGAGAUGUUCGGUUAAGUCCGCUAACGAGCGCAACCCUCGUCGUAUGUUAUAUGUGUCAUACGAGACUGCCGGUAAAAAGCCGGAGGAAGGUGAGGAUGAUGUCAAGUCAGCAUGACCUUUAUAUCCAGGGCUACACACACGCUACAAUGGUCUGUACAAUGGGUAGCCAAGCCGCGAGGCGGAGCCAAUCCUGAAAGCAGGCCUCAGUUCAGAUUGCAGUCUGCAACUCGACUGCAUGAAGCCGGAGUUGCUAGUAACCGCAGGUCAGCAAUACUGCGGUGAAUACGUUCCCGGGUCUU